rnacentral:rRNA from 1 species
GAUGAACGCUGGCGGCGUGCUUAACACAUGCAAGUCGAACGGUGAAGGCGGAGCUUGCUCUGCUGGAUCAGUGGCGAACGGGUGAGUAACACGUGAGCAAUCUGCCCCUGACUCUGGGAUAAGCGCUGGAAACGGCGUCUAAUACUGGAUACGAGCUGCGAAGGCAUCUUCAGCAGCUGGAAAGAACUUCGGUCAGGGAUGAGCUCGCGGCCUAUCAGCUUGUUGGUGAGGUAACGGCUCACCAAGGCGUCGACGGGUAGCCGGCCUGAGAGGGUGACCGGCCACACUGGGACUGAGACACGGCCCAGACUCCUACGGGAGGCAGCAGUGGGGAAUAUUGCACAAUGGGCGAAAGUCUGAUGCAGCAACGCCGCGUGAGGGACGACGGCCUUCGGGUUGUAAACCUCUUUUAGCAGGGAAGAAGCGAAAGUGACGGUACCUGCAGAAAAAGCGCCGGCUAACUACGUG